GAGACAGCAGCCGCCACGGGAAUACGAAGGGGGCUAGCGUUGCUCGGAAUGACUGGGCGUAAAGGGCGCGUAGGCGGAUUGGAUUGUCGGGCGUGAAAUUCCUGGGCUCAACCUGGGGACUGCGUUCGAGACGUCUGGUCUAGAGUGGGGAAGAGGGUUGUGGAAUUCCCAGUGUAGAGGUGAAAUUCGUAGAUAUUGGGAAGAACACCGGUGGCGAAGGCGGCGACCUGGUCCUUGACUGACGCUGAGGCGCGAAAGCGUGGGGAGCAAACAGGAUUAGAUACCCCGGUAGUCCCUGUCUCUUAUAC
rnacentral:rRNA from 1 species